GAAGCGCGACAAAAUUAAAGAGAAAAGGAGACCACGAAACCAACCGCUCCACCUCCUCCUUCCCUCAUCUCUUACUUGCUGCACAAGAACACGCGGUCGCCUUAUCUACCGCCCCCGUCCACCGGCAGUCAAUCGCGCAGCCCCCGCUCGAAUCCCCGCUAGCUCGUCGACGGAUUAUUUGGUCCGGCCGUCUCGCCCCAGCGGUUCCAUCCGACAGCGUCGGUACACUAUGGCUACGCCACUGGUAGCUGGGUUAUCGGUGGCUGCUGCUGCACUGGGAAGCAGAUAUAUGAUUCAGGCAUGGCAAGCCUUCCGGAUCCGCGCGGCAAUGCCGAGGGUGCGUCGAUUCUAUCCUGGUGGAUUUGAGCCAGCGAUGAGCAGAAGAGAGGCGGCAUUGAUCCUUGGCGUAAGAGAACGUGCUGCACUGGACAAGAUCAAGGAGGCCCACAAGAGAGUAAUGGUGGCCAACCACCCUGAUGGCGGCGGGAGCCAUUACGUUGCUUCUAAGAUAAACGAGGCCAAGGACAUGCUCAUGGGAAAAGGGAAAUCUGGUUCCGUUUUUUAGCCUAUGCAAAACAAGUUGAAGUAUUUUUGCAAUCAUCACGAUGAGAUAGACUGCAAGGAGUACUAAUAUUUGAUGAAGAAGGCAUUAAGGCAGUCCUAAAUCUUAAGGGACUGCUCGCGGAAAGUUACAUCCGGCCAACCUGAAAGGGAUAAUUCUGUCCGUGAAUCGUGAAUGCGAUGGCUGGAGUUGAUUGUGGCUGCUUGACCUCAUGGAUCCUAUCGCAUUUUAGCCGGGCUCUAGGGCAUGUGUCUUGGAUAUUCCUUUCUGUCCAGGACUAAGUUCAAAUGUUAAUUGCAUAUGCUGUAUGCUACUGUUAUGUUGCAGCAGUUGUUACUUUUGACCUAACAGUAGGACUUUAGCUGUCAGCAACAAAUAGGGAUCUUAAAUGUUAUGAACCAUUCCAACUCAUAUCAGUUGUGUAAGUCCGGGUUCAUCAUAUGUAGUCCUGUUGCCACCUUGACAACAUAGCUGUGUUCUAGACUGCAUAUGGAGGUGUUUCCAGUAUCCAUAAUGAUGUUGCUAAUACUACAAUCUUUGUAUGAAUUAUUAGGCACAAAAAGUAGUUUUUGUCUGUUGGUACUGA